ACAGGUUGCGAUGUGUGAUAUAAAGUGCGGGGAGUUGUGCGCGGCUCUGAUAUCGGUGGCUGGGAGCGGACGGAGCGCACCGUGGAAUAUAACGUUGGCGGUUUGAUCGUCUUUCCACCCAUCACACCUAACAAUGAGGUGGCUGUGGACUCUUCUCCUUGUUGGGUUAUCCGUGGCCUUCAUCUCAGCGCUGGCCCUUCCGGAGGAGGAGGAGGACAGACAAAGAUGUUGUGUUUUUGGAGGUUGCUCAGGCUGUUGGUGUCGCACCAAAAACAUCUGGGAACUGGGAGAUUAUGGUAAUCUCCACCCAGGAACCAGUGCUUCAAUAUUUUCCAUAGAUUGCAUUAUCUGCAAAGAUAGAAAUUGCUGAAGAAACUGGACAAACGCCAUCAACAAACAACGGAAUUGAAGCCACAAUUUUUGCGCCCAAAGAUUUGCGCAAAUCUUCUUUUUCCUGGUGAUCGCCGGUCCACCCCCCGGAGUUUGUCUCGUCUCUGGACUCUCACUUGUUAUUAUCUGAUAUUCCUGAUGUUACACAUUAAAGUAUAAUUUGCUGAACCCCCAA